rnacentral:rRNA from 1 species
UCUCUACGAAAACGCCUCUUCUGACACUCCAACUCGAUUGGCCCCAUUGAUUGAUGGUGCUUGCACCUGAUUGAUUUUGGUCGCCAACGAGUGGCGGACGGGUGAGUAACACGAUAGUGUAACCUGCCGCCAAGCGGGGGACAACAUUUGGUGAACAGAUGCUGCUACCGCAUAACAACGUUGUUCGCAUGAACGACGCUUAUAAGAUGGCUUCUCUCUAUCACUUCUGGAUGGACCUGCGGUGCAUUAACUUGUUGGUGGGGUAACGGCCUACCAAGGCGAUGAUGCAUAGCCGAGUUGAGAAACUGAUCGGCCACAAUGGGACUGAAACACGGCCCAUACUCCUACGGGAGGCAGCAGUAGGGAAUCUUCCACAAUGGGCGCAAGCCUGAUGGAGCAACACCGCGUGAGUGAAGAAGGGUUUCGGCUCGUAAAGCUCUGUUGUUAAAGAAGAACACGUAUGAGAAUAACUGUUCAUACGUUGACGGUAUUUAACCAGAAAGUCACGGCUAACUACGUGCCAGCAGCCGCGGUAAUACGUAGGUGGCAAGCGUUAUCCGGAUUUAUUGGGCGUAAAGAGAGUGCAGGCGGUUUUCUAAGUCUGAUGUGAAAGCCUUCGGCUUAACCGGAGAAGUGCAUCGGAAACUGGAUAACUUGAGUGCAGAAGAGGGUAGUGGAACUCCAUGUGUAGCGGUGGAAUGCGUAGAUAUAUGGAAGAACACCAGUGGCGAAGGCGGCUACCUGGUCUGCAACUGACGCUGAGACUCGAAAGCAUGGGUAGCGAACAGGAUUAGAUACCCUGGUAGUCCAUGCCGUAAACGAUGAGUGCUAAGUGUUGGAGGGUUUCCGCCCUUCAGUGCCGGAGCUAACGCAUUAAGCACUCCGCCUGGGGAGUACGACCGCAAGGUUGAAACUCAAAGGAAUUGACGGGGGCCCGCACAAGCGGUGGAGCAUGUGGUUUAAUUCGAAGCUACGCGAAGAACCUUACCAGGUCUUGACAUCUUGCGCCACCCUAGAAAAAGGCGUUUCCUUCGGGAACCCAAUGACAGGUGGUGCAUGGUCGUCGUCAGCUCGGGUCGUGAAAUGUUGGGUUAAGUCCCGCAACGAGCCCACCCUUGUACUAGUUGCCACCAUUAAGUUGGGCACCCUAGUGGAACUGCCGGUGACAAACCGGAGGAAGGUGGGGACCACGUUCAAUUCUCCUGCCCCUUUGAACCGGGGCUCCACCGGGGUCAAUGGAAGGGAAAACGAGUCCCGAACCCCGGGGGAAACCAAUCUUUAAAACCUUUUCAGUUGGAAGGGAGGUGAACUCCCCCCCCAAAAUCGAAAUCCUGUAACACGGAACGUCGCCCGGGGAAAUUUUCCGGCCUUUCCCCCCCCCCCCAAAGACC